ensembl:lncRNA
ACCGGAGAGAGGUUCUUGAGAGCUUGAGUCUUCUUCUCCUCCGAGCAGGAUUCUCCACUGACGCAUCCCCCAAUGCCCACCUGUCAGCUCAGGUCUGCAUGAACGUUGGCUGGUCCACCCUGAGCGCCGGUGCUGGUCCUCUGGCCCCCGGCAGUACCUCUGCAUGGCUGGAGCCAGAGAGAUGGAAGGAGUCGCCACUGCGGCUUGCAGAGCGCGCGGUCCUUGCUGGUGUAAGCUGGGCCGACUCAGAGUUGCUGGGUGUCGUCGAAAUUUGCUGCACGUCCUCGUGGGGCUUGGGGGUGGGGCCGGGAAUGACCUUGGGCAGCCCCACGGCUGGGGCACCAGGCGUCCAGACUCAGAAUUCUUCAGAAGCAGGUGGGGAAGCCGGGAAACCAAACCGCUUGCUCAGAGCUGCUCCACGGGGCCUCCUUCUCCUGCCCCAGCCUGCGUCCCCUGAUCCGUGAAAGGGGAAUGAAGCAUCCGUGGGCAGGAGGCUGUGAGGUCUGAAGGAGGUGGCGGAGGAACCGUCCUGGGCCCAGCACGCGGUCCACAUGGGGUUUUUCUCCAGAGCAAAUCAGCCGAUUUUAAUCAUCCCCGCUCCUUUCGCAUCCUGGUUUCUAGACUCAGACGUUUCCUCUCCUGUAUUAGAAAUACAUGCAAAACAUUAGUCAUUUCAAGAACGUUCACCACCACCCCCCCGCCCUGGUUGGGCGCAAUUGCUCUCUCUGCUUCUCCUCUGUCUCCUCGGCGGGAUAGUGGUACGGUUGGACAUAGGAUGCAGCCGUAUGUCUUCUUUCUUUCAUAUCUGUAGUCUGUUCCCAGGCUUUCCACGUCGUGCCAUGGUCUGCACCCCCGUUUUCUGCAGCCGUGAGCUCGCCCCUUGAAUUGAUUCAUUUGAACUCUGAGCGCUGCUGCUGCUGCUGCCGCUGCCGUGAGAAACGUAGGCACGUCCUCUUCCUCUCCAUGCAGUUCCCUGCGCAGCAUCCGAGGGAGCUGGAUUUCUGAGCCAGACGGUCCAAGCAGUUUUACGGCUGGCGUGCCGCGGCGCCAAGUGCUUUUCCGGGAGGGAGGCCACCCCCACCCUGCCCCCCACAGCGGAGCCCUGCCUCCUGGCUGGCUUCGGGCUGACCACUUUGCCAGAGCCGGCUGACCUGCCGGCCCAGAGGGACCCCAGUACCGUUUUCACCUGCGGGUCUUCGAGCCCUAGCGGGGGUGGGCAGUUUCUGCAUUUAACCACUAAUGGCGUUUACUUCUUUGAGCAUCAUCUGCUCGUGUCCUGUCUGUCUGGGGACCCGUGUAGAGGGAAGCAUGGCCAUUGGCCGGUAUCGGGCUGCCACCUGCCCUCCGCCGCCGCUAAGGGAGGUUGAGGGUGCCUCUGCCCGGAGAACACGUGCUCAAGGGGAUUAUCAGAGGCACACUCAGGCACCGUGCACCCGGCCUUGCAAGAAUUCUCCUGUGCAAUCACAAUACACUUUUAACGACAGGUGUGGUAUUUACAUUCUGGAAAUGACUUCCUGAGAUCUACGCUGAAUGCAUUUUUAAUUGUCCUGCAUUUUUAAUGGGCCACAGGGAAGGGCUGGCUUCGUUGGAUGGUCCAGACCUCUGUCCCUCCCUUCUGCCAGGGCGCUGUUCUCUGCUCAGCCUCUAGGCCCCUUUGCAUCAGUGUAAGAGAGGGUGUGAGGGACGGACCCCCGCCCUGUGCUGGAACAGCUCCCGGUUGGUGGCAGGGCUUGGACGUGCCUGGAGCUGGCCCACCACCCCUCCUGGUGCCUCCCGAGGCUCAUGGUAACUGGACGAGCCAGCUGGCCUCGCCCCGGCCUGCAUCUACAGUCUGUGCAAGUGUCCUGGGGCUGCUGGAACAAAGACCAACCCUGGAGGCUUCAGGCAACAGGAAUUUGUUUUCUCACAUUCCUACAGGCUAGAAAUUGGAAAUUGGGCUGUGGGUAGCCACUGGGAGGUGAGUUCCAUCCUGCUGCUCCCAGCUCCUGGAGGUUCAAGGUUCCAGCCUCCGCCUCCAUCUUCACACGGCCUCCCGCUGUGGGUUCCUUAUAAAGUCCCUUAUCUUUGGAUUCAGGGCCCACCCGGGGUAUCCAGGGUGGUCGCAUCUCGAGAGCUCUAACUUCAUCACACUGGCACAGGCCUCUUUUCCAAAUAAGUUCACACGCAGUCCUUGGAGGUCAGGACGACCUCGUCUUUCUGGUGCCUCCAUUCAGCCCAGUACCAUCACCGCGCUCUGGUGAUCGCACCUGGAUCGGAUUCCCCCCGUGGCUGUUGCGCCUGCCCGUCGCCCCGUCCCCCGUCUUCCCUGCCGCCUCUCCGUCCUCAGGGAGAGGAUGCCCCGCCCUUCUCCCGCAAGGCCCGAGGGACUCGACACGCACACAUGCACACGUGUGUCCUGCUCACUCGCCCUGGCAGCCCCCAUGGGGGACACGUGUGCAUCCCACCCCCCCUUCCCCGUCCCUGGUCCAGGCGCAGGCGGGGCUCAUGGGUAGGCAGAGCCACAAGCCGCAGGGACGAGCGUCAAAGAUCAUGGUGGGAGUUCCCGUCGUGGCGCAGUGGUUAACGAACCCGACUAGGAACCAUGAGGUUGCAGGUUCGGUCCCUGCCCUUGCUCAGUGGGUUAACGAUCCGGCGUUGCCGUGAGCUGUGGUGUAGGUUGCAGACGCGGCUUGGAUCCCGUGUUGCUGUGGCUCUGGCGUAGGCCGGUGGCUACAGGUCCGAUUUGACCCCUAGCCUGGGAACCUCCAUAUGCCGUGGGAGCGGCCCAAGAAAUGGCAAAAAGACAAAAAAAAAAAAGAUCAUGGUGCCCGCGGGGCAGCUAAAGGCCCCCCGUGCGGUUUGCGCCUCCUCCAUGAUGGGGCCGAAUGACGUUAGAAGGAGCAGAAACAGUGCUGGAAGGAGGGAAAUCGGAGACAAUGAUCCAUAGGGCCCCCCUCUGCUCCUGCACCCCGUCUUUCCUGCAGGAGGAUGGCAGAGCGUCUCCCAAGGCUCAGGGCUCUCUGCAGGAGCCAAGGAAGCUCCUGGAGGCCGGCCUUUCAGUCUGAAAGCCGAGGUCGGCUGAUGGCCCCUUCGCUCCUGCAAGACGCCUGCGUAGUUUCUCUCCGAAUCACCCUCCACCUGUAACGGCAGUUCCGCUUAAGUUCCGUGUGUGCUGUGCGCUUUCUAUGCCAACGGCAAGAUUUUUCAUGCCCCUCAAGAACCAGUUUUUGCUCCUCGAGGGCAAUAAUGUCCCCAGCCCAGAGUCUGUCUCCCGAAGAAGAGCUCCCCCCCCUCAGGGGCGAGUGGAUCCCCUGGGGUCUGGUUGAAGUUCAGAUUCUGAAACCUCGGUCUGGGUGGGGCCCAAAACACCGCCUUUUCGACACGUCCCAGGUGAUGCUGGUGUUGCUGGUCCACUGGGCACUCUGAACAGCCCUGGACGAUGCCCACAGCUGGUAUUGCUUGAUCUGGACAACUGCAGGGCAUGGGAUUUCAGGAGCUCCCGGUUGCUGCCGGCCAACCCGGGCCAGGGUCUGGCGGGGCCCUGUUGGUGUUUCCGAAGCUGUAUCCCCAUGACCAGUGAGGCCACACAUGCUCCUUAAAAGGUCAACGCAAGCCACUGAGGGCUGGGCAAUGGCCCUGUGUAGAUGGCGGGUCCUCAGUGGGAGGUCCGUAAAAGUCGCUUGUAAAGCCCUUAAAACGACCGCCACUCAGGCCCUGGCUUGGGAGAUGUGGACUCGGUGUAGGGCCCUCUCAGAGGUACCCUGGGCAGAACCGCCCGGGAGGGCAUGGUGGCCGCGGUGCCCCUCAGACUUCCCUGGUCUGUGUUCUAACAGGCUCCCGGGUGCCCAGGUGGCUGGUCCAGGGACCACCCUUGGAGUAGCCAGGGGCUGGGCUGGCAGGAGAGUGAGGCUCAGCAUCCUGCUGGCCUCCCAGGGAGGAUGGACGGACAGAUGGACAGAUGAUGGAUGGAUUGACAGAUGGACGAAUAGAUGGAAGCAUGGUGCUACGACCCUUGAGAACCUCUGCCAGGACCAGGAAAACCCUUCUUGUCUACAUCCUAGGGGGUGGUGUGGGAUCCCGGCGCACAGCGUUGGCCCCCAUGCUGUCAGGCAGAACGAGGGGCUGGGGGCACUCUGAGCCAGAGAGAACGCUGACCUCGGCCACCUUCCCACGCUCUGCCUCCCUUUGCUAUGAUGAUGCAGCCCUGGGACCGGCUGGGACCUCAUGGUAGCCCCAGGCCCACGGCCCAGUUCAGGCUAUGCCUGGGUGGUACGAAGGCCACGCCAGCUCUGCUCGUCCACCGGCGUGUGUGAUCUGGGCAGGACCUGCGGCCGGGGGCAACCUCAGGAAUUUUGGGGGGUGGGUGGGUUUUAGGUUUUCUGAGUGACCUUUUCUUGAGGUGGGGGCUGUGGUUCUCCUUUGUCUUCAUCAUGAAAUCUUGAACACACACAGCAAGUGCAGUAUCUGCUUGGGUACCCGCAUGCCAGAGACAGCCUAGUGCUCACCAGACAGUCCAAGAUUUUCCUCCCAUCCCUGGCCUCCCUUGUGGUUGUUUUCGGGUCCUGUGACUUGUUUGAACCCGUGGACGCUGAGCAGGGAUAUAUGGGCUAAGCCACUGUCAUUUGGGGCUCAGCUCUUACCGCAGCAGAACCUAAACGAGCCCAAUACUGGUUCUCUGGCUGUAAUAGAUGUUAAUUCUUUUCUCCAUGGGACCUCUGUCUCUUAAAGAAAUGCACGGUGAAGAUUCUGAUCAAGCCCAGCCCUCUCCUCUCUCCCCCCGACGCCCCACCCCGCCUCCCAGAAUUACCACGGCCUUGAAAUUCGCGUAGCCCGUCCCCAAGGGUGCGUCAUGUGUUAAGUACACGCGUACACGUCUAUCCACAGUCGAUGUGUUCUGCGGUUUAGUGUGUUUUAAAAAUUAAUACAAGUGGCACCGUGCUGCCGUUAGAAAUGUGAUUUACAGCCCGGCCUCGGUUUUGUUAAUUUAUCCCUGUAGCACAUGGAAGCUGCUUGAUCGAUGCCUUCCCCGCUCUGGGAGUGUGAGGGUUUUUAUCCUCCGGAUUUCCUUGUUCCCAGUAGGGCUGCAGAGGGUGUUCCUACAUGUCCCCAGCUUCCUUUGUCUCCCCUUUCGCCAAGCUCCCAGCCCACGUCCCUGGACGCAUCAGACUUGACAUGUCCAAGCAGGGGGAGAACGCAGAGCAGGUGAUUUUGCGUUUGCACGAUUCUUCGAGAGGCUGGACCUACUCCCCUUCGCUGAUCGACUGCUCAGGUCCCCUCCUCCGGGAUCUACCUGUUCGUAUCUUGUGCCCACAUCUUUCUCUCGCCUACCUUUUGCUUAAACCCCUGCCUCUGCGAACAGCCCAGUCCUCUCCAGGGCCCUUAAUCAAGAUGGGUGUCCUCCAGCUGUGACCUGAGCACCCAUCACGGGUCAUCCUUCUUUCCCAGCACCUCCUAAGGAUGUUGCCUCCUGUUCCUCCGUGUCAUCUUUCUUAAUGUCUCACAGUGCAAUUCUCAGACGAGUAUUUCUGCAGGAUGGUGUGUUGGUCAGCUGCUGUGACGAUAACGCUGUGUAACAAGUCACCCCACACCCACACCCAGCAUGCACCAGCCCCUUCUUCUCACCCCCUGGGGCCACUGGGCUUUGGUGGCCUUAGGUGGAGGUGGCUGGGCAGCUCCACCUGAGCUGCAGGUUGGGGGCUUGGUUCAGCUCCAUCUGCACUUGUGCUCGAGCCGCUGACUGCUCAGAGACCACAAGACACGUUCUUCCCACACACACAGCACAGGAGCGCGGGAGCCACGCUCCCCUCGCACAAGCGCCUACAAGGCUUCUGCCUACUCACGUUUGCGAAUUUCCUUGGGCCAACGCAAGUCACAGGUCAAAGCCAACGCCAGCGGUGGCGGGGUGAGGGGAAUGUUUGCUGAUGGACAGGCCAGCGGAUCAUAGGUGUUUCCAGAAAAUACGCACAGGGUGGUUGUAUAGUUUAGGGAAAUGAACUUAGGUGGAAGAAAUCCAGCCGGGCGUCUUUGCAGCAGGACACACUGGGGUCUCUGACGCACCAGGGAGCGUCGUGCGUCCCCAGGAGAAGGUUGUGCCUCAUUUCUCCACCUUCCAUCUGACUCCGUGAGCUUUGUCAUUUUUAUUUUAUUUCAUUGGAAUUCUGGGCGUCCCCAUUGUGGCUCAGCGGGUUAAGAACCCGACUAUUAUCCAUGAGGAUGUGGGUUUGAUCCCUGGCCUCACUCAGUGGGUUAAGGAUCCGGCGUUGCUGUGAGCUGUGGUGUAGGUCGCAGGUGUGCCUCGGAUCUGGCGUUGCUGUGGCUGUGGCCGAGGCCCCAAGCUGCAGCUCUGAGUCAACCCCUGGCCCAGGAACUUCCACGAGCUGUGGGUGUGGCCCUAAAAAGACCAAAAAAAAAAAAAAAAAA